AUCGCUUCUUGGCCUUUUGGCUAAGAUCAAGUGUAGUUUUUUUUUUUUUUAAAUCAUGUUGGCCUUUAGUAAAUGUGUUCUGAUUGUCUUUUAUGUUGACUGGACUUUUUUUGGUACCAGGGAUUGAACUCGGGACCUUGUGCUUGCGAGGCAGGCAGCAGCACCACUGAGCUAAAUCCCCGGUCCUAGACUGUCUU
ensembl:snRNA U2 U2 spliceosomal RNA